AUGGCUCAGGAUGAACGCUGGCGGCGUGCCUAACACAUGCAAGUCGAGCGAUUCUCUUCGGAGAAGAGCGGCGGACGGGUGAGUAACGCGUGGGUAACCUGCCUCAUACACAUGGAUAACAUACCGAAAGGUAUGCUAAUACAGGAUAACAUAAGAGAUUCACAUGGAUUUCUUAUCAAAGCUCCGGCGGUAUGAGAUGGACCCGCGUCUGAUUAGCUAGUUGGUAAGGUAAUGGCUUACCAAGGCGACGAUCAGUAGCCGACCUGAGAGGGUGAUCGGCCACAUUGGAACUGAGACACGGUCCAAACUCCUACGGGAGGCAGCAGUGGGGAAUAUUGCACAAUGGGCGAAAGCCUGAUGCCAGCAACGCCGCGUGAGUGAUGAAGGCCUUCGGGUCGUAAAACUCUGUCCUCAAGGAAGAUAAUGACGGUACUUGAGGAGGAAGCCCCGGCUAACUACGUGCCAGCCGCUGC
rnacentral:rRNA from 1 species